rnacentral:tRNA from 1 species
AAUUAAGAAAUAAUUUUUUUGUAUUCAAUUUCGGAUUGAAAGUUAGGUUUAAAUAAUCCUUAAUUG